GACGAACGCUGGCGGCGUGCUUAACACAUGCAAGUCGAACGGAAAGGCCCUGCUUUUGUGGGGUGCUCGAGUGGCGAACGGGUGAGUAACACGUGAGUAACCUGCCCUUGACUUUGGGAUAACUUCAGGAAACUGGGGCUAAUACCGGGUAGGAGCUCCUGCUGCAUGGUGGGGGUUGGAAAGUUUCGGCGGUUGGGGAUGGACUCGCGGCUUAUCAGCUUGUUGGUGGGGUAGUGGCUUACCAAGGCUUUGACGGGUAGCCGGCUUGAGAGGGUGACCGGCCACAUUGGGACUGAGAUACGGCCCAGACUCCUACGGGAGGCGGCAGUGGGGAAUAUUGCACAAUGGGCGGAAGCCUGAUGCAGCAACGCCGCGUGCGGGAUGACGGCCUUCGGGUUGUAAACCGCUUUCGCCUGUGACGAAGCGUGAGUGACGGUAAUGGGUAAAGAAGCACCGGCUAACUACGUG
rnacentral:rRNA from 1 species